UACGUAGGUGGCAAGCGUUGUCCGGAAUUAUUGGGCGUAAAGCGCGCGCAGGCGGUCCUUUAAGUCUGAUGUGAAAGCCCACGGCUCAACCGUGGAGGGUCAUUGGAAACUGGGGGACUUGAGUACAGAAGAGAAGAGUGGAAUUCCACGUGUAGCGGUGAAAUGCGUAGAGAUGUGGAGGAACACCAGUGGCGAAGGCGACACACUGGGCCGUACCUGACACUAAGACGCGACAGCAUGGGGAGCGAACGGG
rnacentral:rRNA from 1 species